UACGGAGGGAGCUAGCGUUGUUCGGAUUUAUUGGGCGUAAAGAGCUCGUAGGCGGCUUGUCGCGUCGACCGUGAAAACUCGCAGCUCAACUGCGAGCCUGCGGUCGAUACGGGCAGGCUAGAGUUCGGUAGGGGAGACUGGAAUUCCUGGUGUAGCGGUGAAAUGCGCAGAUAUCAGGAGGAACACCGAUGGCGAAGGCAGGUCUCUGGGCCGAUACUGACGCUGAGGAGCGAAAGCGUGGGGAGCGAACAGG
rnacentral:rRNA from 1 species